UCAGCCACCAUCAGAGACCUUGGUUGUGGCACUUUGCAGGACAGCGCACAGGACCUUUGAUAAAGCUCAACACUGCAAACGGCACUGGUCACGGCAUAGCAGAUAACAAGCGAGACGGACGCAUAUAAGAACACUGUCGAAAAUUGGCCCAGAUCAAAGUUCAUACCCCAAAGUCUCUGUGAUAGUUAGUAUUAAUUUCCGAUAUGAUAAGAUUCUCUGCUAUUGGAUGCUGUUUGAUUUCGAUAGUGAUCAUGCCCAUCAUAUGUACAAAACGGAACGUGGAACCCUGGAUCGAACACAACGCAAGAGUGGACAGAUUCACCUGCAGCACCCCGCAACCACGUAGCUUCGAUCUCAACGAAAUUCUACCAAGGAAUAGUACAUUAAGGACAGUUGCUGGGACGAUAUACCCCCAGAAGACAGUCCUAUACAGGUGUGAACAUGCUGGAUGUUGCAAGGGAAUCAAACGUUGUCUGCCUAACAGUAUGGAUGAGGUUGAGUUGGUUUUCGCUGUUAUUUCUCCGACAACGAAGCCCGAAUACCAGCAAAUUAUAGCCCUAAAUCAUACGCGGUGUUCUUGCCAAAACAAGAGGGACAAACCGAAAUAAUAAUUCAGAAAUUGGAAAAAAAAACGAAUUGGAUCUACCGAAGUGACUCAUCUGAAAAUAUGACGCAGUUAGAAAUGAAGGAUAUGGUGUUGGAUAGAAGAAAAAUUGAUGACAUUGAAAAUGAGAAAGAUCAAAUGGACAGAGAAAGAUUCACACCUUUCAUCAAGACACUGUCGAAUUUCAAUCUAUAGGACUGGUUUAUCCCCUUGGAAAUGAUUUUUAUGGUCAGCUGAAUGGAUGCAACGAUCUGUGAUAAGAAAAAUUUGAACAAGCAAAUUAGCAAAAUAUCCGUUAGCUGUUAAUUUUUCGAUGUUUUAACAAAUUGAUGCAUGAAGCAAUCAUUUUUAUUGAAAAAAAAUUGUUUAGUACCCAUAUAUUUUUUCAUGUUAAUUAAGAUACCUCCAGUAAUGCAAAUGUCAGUGUUUGUAAUUAAGUGUGAUAGUUUUUAUUUGAUAUACAUAUAUGUUUUACCGACUGAUUUAGAUAGAUUUAAAUAAAGGCCUCAGAAUAUUUCAAUUA